UAGUAGUUUAAUAUAUGUUUGGCACUGCUCAGUUGUUGGUAGUACCGUUCAUGUGUUUUGUCACAACCAAUUAAUUAUUUUAUAACUUGCAGUGUUAUAAAGUAUUACUUGUGAAGUUUUCAUCAAGUUUACAAGCACAGCGCUUUUCGGCCUACUUGUAGUGCAGCAUGUGACUUCUGCAAUCGCAUACGUGACAGAACAUUGUAACUUCUUCGAAACACCAGCCUACGGUCUGACAGCCGAGCCGUCGGACAGGCGACCCAGAGCAGUGUUUGCCGAAACACUGGUUAAUACUUUGACACAGCUCGCACCUUUAGAACCAAAGUCGUAUUUUGACAGGGUUUCAAGAAACAUGCUGAAUUGAACUGGCCCAUCUUAGGAUCCUAUAAUGGCUGGUCACAGGACAUACCUAAUAUCAUUACAUGAUUUCCUGUGGUCAAAACCAUAUUUGAUGGAAUAGUGGAAUUUGGUUAAAAUACCUCAGGAUAACAAAAAUUGAAGUAGUGCUUCAACCUUCUGUUUUUUCUUCUUUGCGAUCAGGUUUGCACUGUUGCUGCAUUCGUAACAUUUACCACACAUGUAUCAAAUACUGUUUCAUGUUGCACUCUGUUCAGAGCUGUCGCAAGCACAACCAGAGUGGUUAUGUUAUCACAUUAUGGUAAGUAUAAGAAUAUGUGGAGAUGCAAAUUAUUGAGUUUUCGCUGUUGGUCGUUUUUAGUGUUUUAUGAGUAGUCCUAUAAUUUUAUUUUAUUAUAUUCUUACAAUCUCCUGCUGAUAAGAUCUGUUCCCAGGUGGAUAUGUUGAGAGAGUUGGAUGGCGUAUGGUUUCCAGUGAUAGAUAUUAGGUCUUAUUGACGAACGCAGGUGCAUAGGUACCUUCCUUCUUCCAUGAAGAUGGAAAAGUGCAAAUAGCAAAUAAUUUAAAAAAAUUCACUUUGUUUAACAUCUGAAUUGUAAAAUUAUAAAUUUACAACGUUUUGGAAGAGUUGUAUUUUUAUAAUUAUAUAAUUUAGGUGGUGGAAAUGUGUAAAACAACAAUUUUAUAUAUUACAAGUAUUCAUAGGCCGAACAUUAGUCCUUUACAUUAUUCAUUUUAGAGUUCCAAACGAUCAGAAGUUGUAUAAUGAAAAUAAUUUCUUUGUAACCCAGCGAGCAGAGUUCGUCUUGAGAUGAUAUUCGCUCAUCUAGCCAAGACAUUACCGUGUUUAGAAGAACCCGUCACUGGACUUUAUCCUGAGGAAGGUAAAAACCAAUCCACAUCCUCUUUAAUAUCCUAUACACUUCGUCUAGGUCUCCCACGUGGUCUCUCUCUUUCGGGUUUUUCGACCAAACUAUUGGACCUAUUUGGUACUGCUUUCAUGCUUAUUACGUGUCCGAAUCAUGUCACAUGGUCUGCUUCAUGAAAUCACUGACAAACUUGAUAAAAAAAGCACAAGUUUUGAAAAGCUUCAUGGUGAAAUUUUUUCAGUCAUUUGUUGCAUAAUAUAGACAAAUUUUAAUGAA